rnacentral:lncRNA from 1 species
AUUUUUUAACGGAAAUUAGACAUUAACAUAGUGUCCUUUGCUCAUAUGAAAGUGAACCUUGAAAACUAAUUAGAAACUAUAAAAGUUGUAAAAUUCAAAAACACACACACAUACACACACACACACAUUUGGAGAGUUACUCUGGGUGGGAUAAAUAUGCUAUAGCUCAAGUUGGGUUCAAGAAAUUUUUGAGCAAAUACAUCAGGGCUAAGAAAUAAGCUACAAAAAUAGAACCUCAAUAGGAAGAUCAAAGGUGAUAAAGAAACUCCUGAUACAAAUCCAGGAAAAUACAUGACCCCGCGCACCUGAUGUUAACAAGUAUUAGUAUUCCAUCCAUACGAUGGAAUUGAGUAUAUAUAGCUGUUCGAAAGCAAUAAUGAUAUCCACGCUACAUCAUUUCACGUUCAUAGACCAACAGAAAAGACACAAUUGUUUAACAAGACACUGAUAAAUUCUUCAUAUCAACUCUUUGUGACAUACCAUUUGGUGCGGACCUACAGUCGAUAACCUCAUCAUAAGAUCCGGAAAUGGCAUCUGCAGAUAAUAACGGAUUACAUGUUCAUGACAUUACGCAAGUAAAUUCUACUCAUGGAUUAACAAGGAAAAUGAAACAUACCCUAGCAGGCCACGACCUUGCCACAUUCUUGGCGUCACUUGUAAGUUAAUGAU